rnacentral:rRNA from 1 species
AACGAACGCUGGCGGCAGGCCUAACACAUGCAAGUCGAGCGGACCUUUCGGGGUCAGCGGCGGACGGGUGAGUAACGCGUGGGAAUAUGCCCUUCUCUACGGAAUAGUCCUGGGAAACUGGGGGUAAUACCGUAUACGCCCUUUGGGGGAAAGAUUUAUCGGGGAAGGAUUAGCCCGCGUUGGAUUAGGUAGUUGGUGGGGUAAUGGCCUACCAAGCCGACGAUCCAUAGCUGGUUUGAGUGGAUGAUCAGCCACACUGGGACUGAGACACGGCCCAGACUCCUACGGGAGGCAGCAGUGGGGAAUCUUAGACAAUGGGGGCAACCCUGAUCUAGCCAUGCCGCGUGAGUGAUGAAGGCCUUAGGGUUGUAAAGCUCUUUCAGCUGGGAAGAUAAUGACGGUACCAGCAGAAGAAGCCCCGGCUAACUCCGUG